rnacentral:rRNA from 1 species
GAUGAGCACUGGCGGCGUGCCUAAUACAUGCAAGUCGAGCGAACAGACGAGGAGCUUGCUCCUUCGACGUUAGCGGCGGACGGGUGAGUAACACGUAGGUAACCUACCUAUAAGACUGGGAUAACUUCGGGAAACCGGAGCUAAUACCGGAUAAUAUUUCGAACCGCAUGGUUCGAUAGUGAAAGAUGGCUUUGCUAUCACUUAUAGAUGGACCUGCGCCGUAUUAGCUAGUUGGUAAGGUAACGGCUUACCAAGGCAACGAUACGUAGCCGACCUGAGAGGGUGAUCGGCCACACUGGAACUGAGACACGGUCCAGACUCCUACGGGAGGCAGCAGUAGGGAAUCUUCCGCAAUGGGCGAAAGCCUGACGGAGCAACGCCGCGUGAGUGAUGAAGGUCUUCGGAUCGUAAAACUCUGUUAUUAGGGAAGAACAAACGUGUAAGUAACUGUGCACGUCUUGACGGUACCUAAUCAGAAAGCCACGGCUAACUACGUG